rnacentral:rRNA from 1 species
UACGUAGGGGGCAAGCGUUGUCCGGAUUUAUUGGGCGUAAAGAGCUCGUAGGUGGUUCGGUAAGUCGGAUGUGAAAUCUCCAGGCUCAACCUGGAGGGGUCAUUCGAUACUGCCGUGACUAGAGGUCGGUAGGGGAGUGUGGAAUUCCUGGUGUAGCGGUGAAAUGCGCAGAUAUCAGGAAGAACACCCGUGGCGAAGGCGGCUCUCUGGGACGGUACUGACGCUGAGACGCGAAAGCGUGGGGAGCGAACAGG